GACGAACGCUGGCGGCGUGCUUAACACAUGCAAGUCGAACGGAAAGGCCCUGCUUUUGUGGGGUGCUCGAGUGGCGAACGGGUGAGUAACACGUGAGUAACCUGCCCUUGACUUUGGGAUAACUUCAGGAAACUGGGGCUAAUACCGGAUAGGAGCUCCUGCUGCAUGGUGGGGGUUGGAAAGUUUCGGCGGUUGGGGAUGGACUCGCGGCUUAUCAGCUUGUUGGUGGGGUAGUGGCUUACCAAGGCUUUGACGGGUAGCCGGCCUGAGAGGGUGACCGGCCACAUUAGGACUGGGAUACGCACCCGACUCCUCCGGGAGGCAGCAGUGGGCAUUAUUGCACAAGGGUCCGUAGCCUGAUGCAGCACCGCCGCGUGCGGGAUGACGGCCUUCGGGUUGUAAGCCGCUUUCGCCUGUGACGAGGCGUGUGUGACGGUAAUGGGUAAAUAAGCACCGGCUAACUACGUG
rnacentral:rRNA from 1 species